UACGGAGGAGGCAAGCGUUAUCCGGAAUUAUUGGGCGUAAAGCGCCCGUAGGUGGCUAGUCAAGUCUGCGGUCAAAGACUGGGGCUUAACCCUGGAAAGGCCGUGGAAACUGACGAGCUAGAGUGCAGUAGGGGUAGAGGGAAUUCCCGGUGUAGCGGUGAAAUGCGUAGAUAUCGAGAGGAACACCAGAGGCGAAGGCGGCGCACUGGACGGCAACUGACACUCAACUGCGAAAGCGUGGGGAGCAAACAGG
rnacentral:rRNA from 1 species